rnacentral:sRNA from 1 species
GUCAGGUAUGGUGGCGCAUGCCUGUAAUCCCAGCAGCUCAGGAGGCUGAGGUAGGAGUAUCGAAAGUUCAAAGCCAGCCUCAGCAACUUACUGAGGUCCUAAGCAACUCCGCAAGACCCUGUCUCUA